rnacentral:rRNA from 1 species
AUUGAACGCUGGCGGCAUGCCUUACACAUGCAAGUCGAACGGCAGCACGGGGGCAACCUGGUGGCGAGUGGCGAACGGGUGAGUAAUACAUCGGAACGUGCCCAAUCGUGGGGGGAUAACGUAGCGAAAGCUACGCUAAUACCGCAUACGAUCUACGGAUGAAAGCGGGGGAUCGCAAGACCUCGCGCGAAUGGAGCGGCCGAUGGCAGAUUAGGUAGUUGGUGGGGUAAAGGCUCACCAAGCCUGCGAUCUGUAGCUGGUCUGAGAGGACGACCAGCCACACUGGAACUGAGACACGGGUCCAGACUCCUACGGGAGGCAGCAGUGGGGAAUUUUGGACAAUGGGCGCAAGCCUGAUCCAGCCAUUCCGCGUGCAGGAUGAAGGCCCUCGGGUUGUAAACUGCUUUGUACGGAACGAAACGGUCCUGGUUAAUACCUGGGGCUAAUGACGGUACCGUAAGAAUAAGCACCGGCUAACUACGUGCCAGCAGCCGCGGUAA